AACAAAAACAUGUCUUUUUGAUAAUAAUUUAAAGUCUGGCCUGCCCAAUGAUUAUUUGAAUGGCUGCGGUAUUUUGACCGUACUAAGGUAGCAUAAUAAUUAGUUUUUUAAUUGAAAGCUGGUAUGAACGGUCGGACGAGAAAAUAACUGUCUCAAUUUAAUUUAAUUAGAAUUUUAUUUUUAAGUAAAAAAGCUUAAAUAAAUUUAAAAGACGAGAAGACCCUAUAGAGUUUUAUAUUUUAUUAUUUUUAUAAGUUUUAAGAAUUAAAUGUUUAAAUGAUAAUGAAAUAUUUUGUUGGGGUGACAAAAAAAUUUAAAUAACUUUUUUUAUAUAAAUUCAUUGAUUUAUGAGUAAGUGAUCCAUUUUUUAUGAUUAAAAGAUUAAAUUACCUUAGGGAUAACAGCGUAAUUUUUUUUGAGAGUUCAAAUCGAAAGAAA
rnacentral:rRNA from 1 species